CCGUAACGCGGCGGUCCGGCAACCGCAAGGAAGUCGGCCGCCACACGCGUUUAUCACCCUUGACUUUGAGCACCUUUCGUUUCCUCGGCGGGUUCGCCCGCCAGCGAGGACCCCCACAAACCCUUUGUAAUAGCAAUAUUCGUCUGAAAAACAACCAAUAAUCA
rnacentral:misc_RNA from 2 species